rnacentral:rRNA from 1 species
ACUAAGCGUACACGGUGGAUGCCCUGGCAGUCAGAGGCGAUGAAGGACGUGCUAAUCUGCGAUAAGCGUCGGUAAGGUGAUAUGAACCGUUAUAACCGGCGAUUUCCGAAUGGGGAAACCCAGUGUGUUUCGACACACUAUCAUUAACUGAAUCCAUAGGUUAAUGAGGCGAACCGGGGGAACUGAAACAUCUAAGUACCCCGAGGAAAAGAAAUCAACCGAGAUUCCCCCAGUAGCGGCGAGCGAACGGGGAGCAGCCCAGAGCCUGAAUCAGUGUGUGUGUUAGUGGAAGCGUCUGGAAAGGCGCGCGAUACAGGGUGACAGCCCCGUACACAAAAAUGCACAUGCUGUGAGCUCGAUGAGUAGGGCGGGACACGUGGUAUCCUGUCUGAAUAUGGGGGGACCAUCCUCCAAGGCUAAAUACUCCUGACUGACCGAUAGUGAACCAGUACCGUGAGGGAAAGGCGAAAAGAACCCCGGCGAGGGGAGUGAAAAAGAACCUGAAACCGUGUACGUACAAGCAGUGGGAGCACGCUUAGGCGUGUGACUGCGUACCUUUUGUAUAAUGGGUCAGCGACUUAUAUUCUGUAGCAAGGUUAACCGAAUAGGGGAGCCGAAGGGAAACCGAGUCUUAACUGGGCGUUAAGUUGCAGGGUAUAGACCCGAAACCCGGUGAUCUAGCCAUGGGCAGGUUGAAGGUUGGGUAACACUAACUGGAGGACCGAACCGACUAAUGUUGAAAAAUUAGCGGAUGACUUGUGGCUGGGGGUGAAAGGCCAAUCAAACCGGGAGAUAGCUGGUUCUCCCCGAAAGCUAUUUAGGUAGCGCCUCGUGAAUUCAUCUCCGGGGGUAGAGCACUGUUUCGGCAAGGGGGUCAUCCCGACUUACCAACCCGAUGCAAACUGCGAAUACCGGAGAAUGUUAUCACGGGAGACACACGGCGGGUGCUAACGUCCGUCGUGAAGAGGGAAACAACCCAGACCGCCAGCUAAGGUCCCAAAGUCAUGGUUAAGUGGGAAACGAUGUGGGAAGGCCCAGACAGCCAGGAUGUUGGCUUAGAAGCAGCCAUCAUUUAAAGAAAGCGUAAUAGCUCACUGGUCGAGUCGGCCUGCGCGGAAGAUGUAACGGGGCUAAACCAUGCACCGAAGCUGCGGCAGCGACGCUUAUGCGUUGUUGGGUAGGGGAGCGUUCUGUAAGCCUGCGAAGGUGUGCUGUGAGGCAUGCUGGAGGUAUCAGAAGUGCGAAUGCUGACAUAAGUAACGAUAAAGCGGGUGAAAAGCCCGCUCGCCGGAAGACCAAGGGUUCCUGUCCAACGUUAAUCGGGGCAGGGUGAGUCGACCCCUAAGGCGAGGCCGAAAGGCGUAGUCGAUGGGAAACAGGUUAAUAUUCCUGUACUUGGUGUUACUGCGAAGGGGGGACGGAGAAGGCUAUGUUGGCCGGGCGACGGUUGUCCCGGUUUAAGCGUGUAGGCUGGUUUUCCAGGCAAAUCCGGAAAAUCAAGGCUGAGGCGUGAUGACGAGGCACUACGGUGCUGAAGCAACAAAUGCCCUGCUUCCAGGAAAAGCCUCUAAGCAUCAGGUAACAUCAAAUCGUACCCCAAACCGACACAGGUGGUCAGGUAGAGAAUACCAAGGCGCUUGAGAGAACUCGGGUGAAGGAACUAGGCAAAAUGGUGCCGUAACUUCGGGAGAAGGCACGCUGAUAUGUAGGUGAAGCGACUUGCUCGUGGAGCUGAAAUCAGUCGAAGAUACCAGCUGGCUGCAACUGUUUAUUAAAAACACAGCACUGUGCAAACACGAAAGUGGACGUAUACGGUGUGACGCCUGCCCGGUGCCGGAAGGUUAAUUGAUGGGGUUAGCNGAAGUGUGGACGCCAGUCUGCAUGGAGCCGACCUUGAAAUACCACCCUUUAAUGUUUGAUGUUCUAACGUUGACCCGUAAUCCGGGUUGCGGACAGUGUCUGGUGGGUAGUUUGACUGGGGCGGUCUCCUCCUAAAGAGUAACGGAGGAGCACGAAGGUUGGCUAAUCCUGGUCGGACAUCAGGAGGUUAGUGCAAUGGCAUAAGCCAGCUUGACUGCGAGCGUGACGGCGCGAGCAGGUGCGAAAGCAGGUCAUAGUGAUCCGGUGGUUCUGAAUGGAAGGGCCAUCGCUCAACGGAUAAAAGGUACUCCGGGGAUAACAGGCUGAUACCGCCCAAGAGUUCAUAUCGACGGCGGUGUUUGGCACCUCGAUGUCGGCUCAUCACAUCCUGGGGCUGAAGUAGGUCCCAAGGGUAUGGCUGUUCGCCAUUUAAAGUGGUACGCGAGCUGGGUUUAGAACGUCGUGAGACAGUUCGGUCCCUAUCUGCCGUGGGCGCUGGAGAACUGAGGGGGGCUGCUCCUAGUACGAGAGGACCGGAGUGGACGCAUCACUGGUGUUCGGGUUGUCAUGCCAAUGGCACUGCCCGGUAGCUAAAUGCGGAAGAGAUAAGUGCUGAAAGCAUCUAAGCACGAAACUUGCCCCGAGAUGAGUUCUCCCUGACUCCUUGAGAGUCCUGAAGGAACGUUGAAGACGACGACGUUGAUAGGCCGGGUGUGUAAGCGCAGCGAUGCGUUGAGCUAACCGGUACUAAUGAACCGUGAGGCUUAACC